ACGCGUCACGCCGGCAUUGCGAACAACGGGCACGGAUUCUCUCCUCCCUUCCACCCCCAAAGCGCCCCUCCACCUGCCGGUUACGGGGAUUAUCUCAUCUCAUCGUUUAGCAUCCGGCGACGGAGCACAUGGCGCAGGGCGUCGGGCUGGAGUUGUAUACGCCAAAUCAGCUGCAGACUUAAAUCAUGACAUCACACACAUGUAACGGUGUAUCAUUUAUGAACUUCUACAUGGCCAUGAACAAGUCCCCCCCCCCCGUACUAAGUCACACGACGACAUUUAGGGAGCAAUUUAUGAUGCGCAUAUUGUUUUCAGGAUACGAGGCUCUGAGAUACUGCAGGUGUUUUGCAGUAGGCGGUAAAGCUCAAAAUGUGUUGUUUUUUUAGUUGAUUAUGCAGCCAAAAGGUCCUACAGGUGUUACACAUUUUCAAGUUCAGAAUUCAGUUUGAUUUGAAGAGCUAUACUAUUGAUAUGCGUAUUUUAGUCUGUAUUUUAAGCAUUAUAAAUGAUUGCAUGGAGUCAUUGUAUUCAAUGUACUUCAAUAGACUGUGGAUUCAGAAUAUGCGUGGGAACUGUAGUAUUAUUUCUGAAAAAUACAGGUUUUAGAUGUAUUAUCUGUUGUUCUUAUUAUAGAAAUAUGCUGGAAAUACAUUGAUAUGUAGGCUAUAUAUAAAUACAAUAUUUUUACACCGA